rnacentral:rRNA from 1 species
CACGUAGGGCGCAAGCGUUGUCCGGAAUUAUUGGGCGUAAAGAGCUCGUAGGCGGUCUGUUGCGUCCGCUGUGAAAACUCGGGGGCUUAACCCCGAGCCUGCAGUGGAUACGGGCAGACUAGAGGUAGGUAGGGGGAGAAUGGAAUUCCCGGUGUAGCGGUGAAAUGCGCAGAUAUCGGGAGGAACACCGGUGGCGAAGGCGGUUCUCUGGGCCGUUACCUGACGCUGAGGAGCGAAAGCGUGGGGAGCGAACAGG